CGCAUGAAAAUUUGCAUGAACUGUAACGAAGCAGUCAGUUCGAAUUGGUCAUGAAAAGAUGGAUUUUGUUGGCAAAGGAGCAUGGCAUCUUCUUAUAAUAUAAGAAAAAGCGGUUUCGAGAACCAGAAAGUGUUGAGGACAGUAUUGAAAAUGUAAAGAAAGCCACUCGCGAUCGCUGACAAGGAUGGAGAUCCGAAAAAACGAUAUAUCAGAUUGUGUGUGCGAUAAGGCUCUAUCUGGUGGAAAAUGGAAGAGCCGAAGACGUGAAUAUAUAUUAGACGGUAAA
rnacentral:lncRNA from 1 species